UUAGAUCUGACUGAAUCUUAAUUAUUUAUGUGUGAAUUUAGUUAUUUGUGUGGUAACCUAGCCUAUUAAUUUCUACUUGAAAAUUUCAGCUGAUCAUGUGGCCUACAUUUUGCCAAGAUGUCGUCUCUUUUUCCUGUACGUACCAGCUGUACGGUUUGUAAGAAACACUAAAGAACAAAUCAGUCUGGUGAAGUCUGAGCUUCGUCGUUGCUGCCCAAUGUACUUAUGGAUUUGAUGCAGCCAGCUGGUAAAGGGUGUUCCUCUUGCUACCUGUACUCUUGUGAGUUUCGUCAAAUGAAGAAACAUGAACAACUGAAGUUUAUCGUGUAUGUUCGCGUAGUCGCUGUCCGCUGUGGUACUUUGUUGCAGCCUAUGCUGGUGAUAGAUCUUUCUGCAUCAAAUUCAAUUGGCCGUGCUGUUGUCGUGUUACCGUUAAUAUGUUAAGAAGGAAAACAAAAAUAUGGGGAUGUUUAUGUCUAGCAAGUAAUAAACAUGUUUUCGGGAUUGGGAAAGGAAAGUGGAAGAUGUUGGAGAGGGGGAUAUUUCAAGUUUGGAUAAAAACAGUUAAUUUUAAGUUUUAACCCUACAAACAUAUCCCUACCAAUUAAUCUCCAAACCUCACAAACUUAUACCUUCCAAUUCUUCACACACAAACACACACCUACCAACCCUAGAUUUAUACCAUAUCCAAAUAAACCAAUGUUAAACCCUAACAAUGUGCUGUCUGUAAUAAAUAAAACUUUUUAUACAAAAAA